rnacentral:lncRNA from 1 species
UACUAUAAGAUCAGGAUACGCAUCAAGAUAAAAUUUAUUGACCUUGAUAAAGAAGAGUAGUUCUAUAAAAUUUGAGAGGCUAAAUUCAAGAAUCUAUGGCCACAGUAGUGUGAUUGAUGGAAAGGAGUUUUCAUAAAAAUUAUAAUUGGACUUAAGCUAAUCGAAUCUAUUACAUAACUGAUAUGGAGGUUUGACGAUUUAUCCAUGAUCUACCAUCUAGUCGGGACUCACGAUAG